rnacentral:lncRNA from 10 species
CUCACAUGUAAUCUAAACAAGAACUCUACAAGAGAGGUAUCCAGAGCCACAUUUUAUAGAUAAGGAAAUUGAGGCUCAGAGAGGACUAGAAAUUUGGCUAAGCUCCUGCAGCUGAGUUGGGGGCUGCAUCUGACAAGUGGCCGUGGUUUCAAGUCUCUGGAGUCCCAUUUUUUUCUCUUCCAUGGAGUUUGUUUGCUGCAGUUUGAGGAGCCGAGGCAUAUGAUAAAUACCAGGUGUCCUUAGAAGAAGAGGAGAUUGGGCCCCAGACACACAUGCACAGAAGAAAGACCACGUGAAGACAGAGGGAGAAGACGGCGAUCUACAAACCAAGGAAACAUCCUCAGAAUGAAACCAACCUUGCCAACCCCUGAUCCUAGACCUCCAGCCUCCACAACGGUCUUUGGACUCAGAUGGAAUUAUACCACGGGGUUUCCUGGGUCUCCAGCAUGCAGAUGGCAGAUUGUGGAACUUCUCAGCCUCCAAAAUCGAUUUUAAUGCUGUGUGAUCAUCUUAGUGCACCACACAUUUUCUGCAUUUUGAUUUUUUUCUUUUGUGGUGACUCCCGAAGAUAGAAUUUCUGAGCUAAAGGAUAUUUUAUUUUAUGUUCCUGCAUACUUUUGCCAAAUGGUUACAUACAAAGGAUGAAGCCUUUACAUUCCCACUGGCAGAAAAUGAGUACCCACAAGUGCCCCAAGUCUAUGGUAACCUGUCCUAUGGAGGGAAAUCUGAAAGCUCUUAGUGAGACCAGUGGGCAGAUGCUGAGCCUGCCCCCAGACAGAGGGAGAAGUCGAACCACCAAGCAUUUGCUAGGCGGCGCAGCAUCUAUGUGAUCAGGGCCAAUGAUAUUCUUUUGCUCUUUCCAGCAUUGCCCAGUGAUCCUGGGGAUGCCGUUUGGAAGCUGCACACCUUUGACAUCUUUAGGGUCGAAGAGAUGAUGCUCCCCAUGGGGACUGACCAGUGAUCCAUUAGUUUCUUGUGGAGUCUUCGGAGGUCUACGGGGCCUUCCUGGGGUGCACCUCAUUUCCCCCACUCCUGACUUCGCAAUUUACUCCUUUGGAUCUUUCCAGAAACCGUCUUUGGCAGUUCUGAAACAAAGGCCACCUAGUGACCAAACACAAAACAAAAAACACUUGGAAAUCAUCAUUUCUCAAAAAGACUUUUGUUUUGAAAGAGACAAUACUGUCUGCCUGUCCUUGGAAAGCGUCCCUGAUUCAGGGUUUCCCCCUAAAUGGCCAGAAGCAAAACAGCUGGAGCCUGGAGCACAGGAUCAUUUUGACAGCAUUUGAGCACUACCUCUUGUAUCUGAUUUGUGGUAGGGAUCAGGCUGUUCUUAGAGUAGGAACAAAAUGUGCUUUGGGGAGAAUCCAAGUGAAGAAAUACAGAAAAAAGCUGAAGCAGCAGCCAGGGUUACAAGUUUCUCCAUAUCCCCAGUGCCUGGCACAGGGCCUGGCUCUGAGUGGGAGCCCAGGCAGAGCGUGCCCAUCUGAUUCCCAGAUCACUGUGCCCUGGAAACCCUGAUAUUUACCUUCCUGGGGUAUUUGUAUGGAGCAGUCACCCUUUUCACAUGCUCCUGGAGUUCCCGCGUUAGUGCCUCUGGGUCAUGAGAGGAGUAGGCUGGAGUAAGGACUAUAAAUGCCUUUACCACCUGCAGGAAAACAAAAUACCCAGAAAAGAUCAGGCCUCGUAUAAC